rnacentral:rRNA from 1 species
AUACGGAGGGUCCGAGCGUUAUCCGGAAUCAUUGGGUUUAAAGGGUCCGUAGGCGGGAAUCUAAGUCAGUGGUGAAAUCUUGCAGCUCAACUGUAAAAUUGCCAUUGAUACUGGAUUUCUUGAAUUAGUGUGAAGUGGUUAGAAUGUGUAGUGUAGCGGUGAAAUGCAUAGAUAUUACACAGAAUACCAAUUGCGAAGGCAGAUCACUAACACUAUAUUGACGCUGAGGGACGAAAGCGUGGGGAGCGAACAGGAUUAGAAACCCCUGUAGUCC